AUUGAACGCUGGCGGCAUGCUUUAUACAUGCAAGUCGAACGGUAACAGGGUGCUUGCACCGCUGACGAGUGGCGAACGGGUGAGUAAUGCGUCGGAACGUGCCGAGUAGUGGGGGAUAACGCAGCGAAAGUUGUGCUAAUACCGCAUACGUACUGAGGUAGAAAGUGGGGGACCUUCGGGCCUCACGCUAUUCGAGCGGCCGACGUCUGAUUAGCUAGUAGGUGAGGUAAAGGCUCACCUAGGCGACGAUCAGUAGCGGGUCGGAGAGGAUGAUCCGCCACACUGGGACUGAGACACGGCCCAGACUCCUACGGGAGGCAGCAGUGGGGAAUUUUGGACAAUGGGCGAAAGCCUGAUCCAGCCAUGCCGGGUGUCUGAAGAAGGCCUUCGGGUUGUAAAGGACUUUUGUCAGGGAGGAAAUCCCUAGCGUUAAUACCGCUGGGGGAUGACAGUACCUGAAGAAUAAGCACCGGCUAACUACGUGCCAGCCGCCGCCGUAAUAC
rnacentral:rRNA from 1 species